CUUAACUGCAAAAACACUGAGACAGCGAAGAGCUGGGGAAAGGAGGAACAUGUGAAAAAGAAAGGAAGACCACUCUUCCCAGUUUCUGGCCAAUGGGAUGAGGGAAGAAGUGAUGGGCAUCAGUUACAGAACUCAUUCACACCUUCAAUGGUUUUGGAAGCCACAUGCUCCAGAUGGCAGAGCUACCCUGGAAAGAAGGUUGCAUCUGAGUCACCACGUGGAGAUCAACUUUGUACAUGUGAAACAUAAAUGUUUACUGUGUUGGGCCACUGAGAUGUUUAGCUGUUUGUUUCACCAGCUAGCCUUAAUUAUCCUAAUACAAGGAGACAGACAAGCAAAAACAUCUUUCAGAGUAUGUCAUGGAAUCCAUAUAUAUUCAAUCAAUUUUUCCAGUAUUCAUCAUAAGUUUUCUAAGGCAAAGUCUCUGAAUAGCCAGCCAUAGAUGUUAUUUCUAGCUUCAGGAUUGGUAUAUUUGAGUGGAUUUUAACUCUUUUGGAGUUUAACUAAGAACACAUUCCAUUCUCAUAAACUAGACUAUGUGAAUAAGCCAGUGGUUUUCAUUUCUCAGGUGGGGAGGUUGGCUCCUAGGGGACAUAGAACAAUGUCUGGAGUCAUUUUUGUCUGUCACAGCCUGGGGUGAGGUGCUAGUGGUAUCUGAGGGUAGGGGCUACACGUCCGACGAUAUACAGGACAGCCUCCAUCAGCAAACAACUAUCCAGACAAAAAUGUCAACAGUGCCAUUGGACAAACCCUGAACAAAUCAA
rnacentral:lncRNA from 1 species